CGGGUUGUAGCUCAGUGGUAGAGCACUUGCCUUGCAUGCGUGAGGCCCUGGGUUUGGUCCCUAGCACCACGU
rnacentral:tRNA from 1 species